UACGUAGGGUGCAAGCGUUGCCCGGAUUUAUUGGGCGUAAAGAGCGUGUAGGCGGCCAGACAGGUCAGCUGUGAAAACUCGAGGCUCAACCUCGAGACGUCGGUUGAAACCGUCUGGCUAGAGUCCGGAAGAGGAGAGUGGAAUUCCCGGUGUAGCGGUGAAAUGCGCAGAUAUCGGGAAGAACACCCGUGGCGAAGGCGGCUCUCUGGGACGGUACUGACGCUGAGACGCGAAAGCGUGGGGAGCGAACAGG
rnacentral:rRNA from 1 species